rnacentral:rRNA from 1 species
UGUGAGCUCGAUGAGUAGGGCGGGACACGUGGUAUCCUGUCUGAAUAUGGGGGGACCAUCCUCCAAGGCUAAAUACUCCUGACUGACCGAUAGUGAACCAGUACCGUGAGGGAAAGGCGAAAAGAACCCCGGCGAGGGGAGUGAAAAAGAACCUGAAACCGUGUACGUACAAGCAGUGGGAGCACGCUUCGGCGUGUGACUGCGUACCUUUUGUAUAAUGGGUCAGCGACUUAUAUUCUGUAGCAAGGUUAACCGAAUAGGGGAGCCGAAGGGAAACCGAGUCUUAACUGGGCGUUAAGUUGCAGGGUAUAGACCCGAAACCCGGUGAUCUAGCCAUGGGCAGGUUGAAGGUUGGGUAACACUAACUGGAGGACCGAACCGACUAAUGUUGAAAAAUUAGCGGAUGACUUGUGGCUGGGGGUGAAAGGCCAAUCAAACCGGGAGAUAGCUGGUUCUCCCCGAAAGCUAUUUAGGUAGCGCCUCGUGAAUUCAUCUCCGGGGGUAGAGCACUGUUUCGGCAAGGGGGUCAUCCCGACUUACCAACCCGAUGCAAACUGCGAAUACCGGAGAAUGUUAUCACGGGAGACACACGGCGGGUGCUAACGUCCGUCGUGAAGAGGGAAACAACCCAGACCGCCAGCUAAGGUCCCAAAGUCAUGGUUAAGUGGGAAACGAUGUGGGAAGGCCCAGACAGCCAGGAUGUUGGCUUAGAAGCAGCCAUCAUUUAAAGAAAGCGUAAUAGCUCACUGGUCGAGUCGGCCUGCGCGGAAGAUGUAACGGGGCUAAACCAUGCACCGAAGCUGCGGCAGCGACGCUGAUGCGUUGUUGGGUAGGGGAGCGUUCUGUAAGCCUGCGAAGGUGUGCUGUGAGGCAUGCUGGAGGUAUCAGAAGUGCGAAUGCUGACAUAAGUAACGAUAAAGCGGGUGAAAAGCCCGCUCGCCGGAAGACCAAGGGUUCCUGUCCAACGUUAAUCGGGGCAGGGUGAGUCGACCCCUAAGGCGAGGCCGAAAGGCGUAGUCGAUGGGAAACAGGUUAAUAUUCCUGUACUUGGUGUUACUGCGAAGGGGGGACGGAGAAGGCUAUGUUGGCCGGGCGACGGUUGUCCCGGUUUAAGCGUGUAGGCUGGUUUUCCAGGCAAAUCCGGAAAAUCAAGGCUGAGGCGUGAUGACGAGGCACUACGGUGCUGAAGCAACAAAUGCCCUGCUUCCAGGAAAAGCCUCUAAGCAUCAGGUAACAUCAAAUCGUACCCCAAACCGACACAGGUGGUCAGGUAGAGAAUACCAAGGCGCUUGAGAGAACUCGGGUGAAGGAACUAGGCAAAAUGGUGCCGUAACUUCGGGAGAAGGCACGCUGAUAUGUAGGUGAAGUCCCUCGCGGAUGGAGCUGAAAUCAGUCGAAGAUACCAGCUGGCUGCAACUGUUUAUUAAAAACACAGCACUGUGCAAACACGAAAGUGGACGUAUACGGUGUGACGCCUGCCCGGUGCCGGAAGGUUAAUUGAUGGGGUCAGCGCAAGCGAAGCUCUUGAUCGAAGCCCCGGUAAACGGCGGCCGUAACUAUAACGGUCCUAAGGUAGCGAAAUUCCUUGUCGGGUAAGUUCCGACCUGCACGAAUGGCGUAAUGAUGGCCAGGCUGUCUCCACCCGAGACUCAGUGAAAUUGAACUCGCUGUGAAGAUGCAGUGUACCCGCGGCAAGACGGAAAGACCCCGUGAACCUUUACUAUAGCUUGACACUGAACAUUGAGCCUUGAUGUGUAGGAUAGGUGGGAGGCUUUGAAGUGUGGACGCCAGUCUGCAUGGAGCCGACCUUGAAAUACCACCCUUUAAUGUUUGAUGUUCUAACGUUGACCCGUAAUCCGGGUUGCGGACAGUGUCUGGUGGGUAGUUUGACUGGGGCGGUCUCCUCCUAAAGAGUAACGGAGGAGCACGAAGGUUGGCUAAUCCUGGUCGGACAUCAGGAGGUUAGUGCAAUGGCAUAAGCCAGCUUGACUGCGAGCGUGACGGCGCGAGCAGGUGCGAAAGCAGGUCAUAGUGAUCCGGUGGUUCUGAAUGGAAGGGCCAUCGCUCAACGGAUAAAAGGUACUCCGGGGAUAACAGGCUGAUACCGCCCAAGAGUUCAUAUCGACGGCGGUGUUUGGCACCUCGAUGUCGGCUCAUCACAUCCUGGGGCUGAAGUAGGUCCCAAGGGUAUGGCUGUUCGCCAUUUAAAGUGGUACGCGAGCUGGGUUUAGAACGUCGUGAGACAGUUCGGUCCCUAUCUGCCGUGGGCGCUGGAGAACUGAGGGGGGCUGCUCCUAGUACGAGAGGACCGGAGUGGACGCAUCACUGGUGUUCGGGUUGUCAUGCCAAUGGCACUGCCCGGUAGCUAAAUGCGGAAGAGAUAAGUGCUGAAAGCAUCUAAGCACGAAACUUGCCCCGAGAUGAGUUCUCCCUGACCCUUUAAGGGUCCUGAAGGAACGUUGAAGACGACGACGUUGAUAGGCCGGGUGUGUAAGCGCAGCGAUGCGUUGAGCUAACCGGUACUAAUGAACCGUGAGGCUUAACCUU